rnacentral:rRNA from 1 species
UUAAGCGACUAAGCGUACACGGUGGAUGCCCUGGCAGUCAGAGGCGAUGAAGGACGUGCUAAUCUGCGAAAAGCGUCGGUAAGGUGAUAUGAACCGUUAUAACCGGCGAUGUCCGAAUGGGGAAACCCAGUGCAAUUCGUUGCACUAUCGUUAACUGAAUACAUAGGUUAACGAGGCGAACCGGGGGAACUGAAACAUCUAAGUACCCCGAGGAAAAGAAAUCAACCGAGAUUCCCCCAGUAGCGGCGAGCGAACGGGGAGCAGCCCAGAGUCUGAAUCAGCUUGUGUGUUAGUGGAACGGUCUGGAAAGUCCGACGGUACAGGGUGAUAGUCCCGUACACCAAAAUGCACAGGCUGUGAACUCGAAGAGUAGGGCGGGACACGUGGUAUCCUGUCUGAAUAUGGGGGGACCAUCCUCCAAGGCUAAAUACUCCUGACUGACCGAUAGUGAACCAGUACCGUGAGGGAAAGGCGAAAAGAACCCCGGCGAGGGGAGUGAAAAAGAACCUGAAACCGUGUACGUACAAGCAGUGGGAGCACCUUCGGGUGUGACUGCGUACCUUUUGUAUAAUGGGUCAGCGACUUAUAUUCUGUAGCAAGGUUAACCGUAUAGGGGAGCCGCAGGGAAACCGAGUCUUAACUGGGCGUUAAGUUGCAGGGUAUAGACCCGAAACCCGGUGAUCUAGCCAUGGGCAGGUUGAAGGUUGGGUAACACUAACUGGAGGACCGAACCGACUAAUGUUGAAAAAUUAGCGGAUGACUUGUGGCUGGGGGUGAAAGGCCAAUCAAACCGGGAGAUAGCUGGUUCUCCCCGAAAGCUAUUUAGGUAGCGCCUCGUGAACUCAUCUUCGGGGGUAGAGCACUGUUUCGGCUAGGGGGUCAUCCCGACUUACCAACCCGAUGCAAACUACGAAUACCGAAGAAUGUUAUCACGGGAGACACACGGCGGGUGCUAACGUCCGUCGUGAAGAGGGAAACAACCCAGACCGCCAGCUAAGGUCCCAAAGUCAUGGUUAAGUGGGAAACGAUGUGGGAAGGCACAGACAGCCAGGAUGUUGGCUUAGAAGCAGCCAUCAUUUAAAGAAAGCGUAAUAGCUCACUGGUCGAGUCGGCCUGCGCGGAAGAUGUAACGGGGCUAAACCAUGCACCGAAGCUGCGGCAGCGACACUAUGUGUUGUUGGGUAGGGGAGCGUUCUGUAAGCCUGCGAAGGUGNNNNNNNNNNNNNNNNNNNNNNNNNNNNNNNNNNNNNNNNNNNNNNNNNNNNNNNNNNNNNNNNNNNNNNNNNNNNNNNNNNNNNNNNNNNNNNNNNNNNNNNNNNNNNNNNNNNNNNNNNNUGGAGCUGAGACCAGUCGAAGAUACCAGCUGGCUGCAACUGUUUAUUAAAAACACAGCACUGUGCAAACACGAAAGUGGACGUAUACGGUGUGACGCCUGCCCGGUGCCGGAAGGUUAAUUGAUGGGGUUAUCCGUAAGGAGAAGCUCUUGAUCGAAGCCCCGGUAAACGGCGGCCGUAACUAUAACGGUCCUAAGGUAGCGAAAUUCCUUGUCGGGUAAGUUCCGACCUGCACGAAUGGCGUAAUGAUGGCCAGGCUGUCUCCACCCGAGACUCAGUGAAAUUGAACUCGCUGUGAAGAUGCAGUGUACCCGCGGCAAGACGGAAAGACCCCGUGAACCUUUACUAUAGCUUGACACUGAACAUUGAGCCUUGAUGUGUAGGAUAGGUGGGAGGCUUUGAAGCGUGGACGCCAGUCUGCGUGGAGCCAACCUUGAAAUACCACCCUUUAAUGUUUGAUGUUCUAACGUUGGCCCCUGACCGGGGUUGCGGACAGUGUCUGGUGGGUAGUUUGACUGGGGCGGUCUCCUCCCAAAGCGUAACGGAGGAGCACGAAGGUUAGCUAAUCCUGGUCGGACAUCAGGAGGUUAGUGCAAUGGCAUAAGCUAGCUUGACUGCGAGCGUGACGGCGCGAGCAGGUGCGAAAGCAGGUCAUAGUGAUCCGGUGGUUCUGAAUGGAAGGGCCAUCGCUCAACGGAUAAAAGGUACUCCGGGGAUAACAGGCUGAUACCGCCCAAGAGUUCAUAUCGACGGCGGUGUUUGGCACCUCGAUGUCGGCUCAUCACAUCCUGGGGCUGAAGUAGGUCCCAAGGGUAUGGCUGUUCGCCAUUUAAAGUGGUACGCGAGCUGGGUUUAGAACGUCGUGAGACAGUUCGGUCCCUAUCUGCCGUGGGCGCUGGAGAAUUGAGGGGGGCUGCUCCUAGUACGAGAGGACCGGAGUGGACGCAUCACUGGUGUUCGGGUUGUCAUGCCAAUGGCACUGCCCGGUAGCUAAAUGCGGAAGAGAUAAGUGCUGAAAGCAUCUAAGCACGAAACUUGCCCCGAGAUGAGUUCUCCCUGAGACUUUAAGUCUCCUGAAGGAACGUUAAAGACGAUGACGUUGAUAGGCCGGGUGUGUAAGCGCAGCGAUGCGUUGAGCUAACCGGUACUAAUGAACCGUGAGGCUUAACCUU